GGUGGAUUGGCCAUGCUAAAUUACACCAUCGUGUUCAGGGCUGUGUGGGUUAGGGUGGAUUGGGGGGGCGUUGCUGAACGAGGACGUAUUUGCGGAGUAAGACGCCCUCGAGGCAUUCCCUUGAAAUCUCCGGGGUGGGGAGAGAAGAGUUUGUCGGCGAUCUUGGAUGCGAGGGAAGGCAGAAUUCAUGGUAGUUCCCAAUAGAUUAUCACGGAACUUUCCCCUCCCCCGCCCCCCCCCCCCCCGGCAGUGUGGAAGCAGGCCCAUCGGGUGCACGCUGCGGGGAGCGUCCCACCUGGGCAAGGGGAGAGAGCGCCUCAGGUCCGUCGUAGGGCGAAGGCGUUUUGUUUUGCUUUGCUUCCUCCCGCUCUCGUAACCGCCUCUCGUGCAGAUCCUGUGCCACCUCAUCAACAGCCUGAACCCCCCGGAGAGGCGCCCCAUCAAAAGGAUCCAGGCUUCUGAGAGGGCCUUCACUCAGAUGGAGCAGAUCUCCCAGUUCCUCAAGGCUGCCACGGACUACGGGCUGACAGCCACUGACCUCUUCCAGACCGUGGACCUGUGGGAAGCUAAGAAUUUAGCAGCCGUUCAACAAUCUCUGCUAGCCCUCG